AAAUUGAAGAGUUUGAUCAUGGCUCAGAUUGAACGCUGGCGGCAGGCCUAACACAUGCAAGUCGAGCGGAAACGAGUUAUCAGAACCUUCGGGGGACGGUAACGGCGUCGAGCGGCGGACGGGUGAGUAAUGCCUAGGAAAUUGCCCUGAUGUGGGGGAUAACCAUUGGAAACGAUGGCUAAUACCGCAUGAUGCCUACGGGCCAAAGAGGGGGACCUUCGGGCCUCUCGCGUCAGGAUAUGCCUAGGUGGGAUUAGCUAGUUGGUGAGGUAAGGGCUCACCAAGGCGACGAUCCCUAGCUGGUCUGAGAGGAUGAUCAGCCACACUGGAACUGAGACACGGUCCAGACUCCUACGGGAGGCAGCAGUGGGGAAUAUUGCACAAUGGGCGCAAGCCUGAUGCAGCCAUGCCGCGUGUGUGAAGAAGGCCUUCGGGUUGUAAAGCACUUUCAGUCGUGAGGAAGGUAGUGUAGUUAAUAGCUGCAUUAUUUGACGUUAGCGACAGAAGAAGCACCGGCUAACUCCGUGCCAGCAGCCGCGGUAAUACGGAGGGUGCGAGCGUUAAUCGGAAUUACUGGGCGUAAAGCGCAUGCAGGUGGUUUGUUAAGUCAGAUGUGAAAGCCCGGGGCUCAACCUCGGAAUUGCAUUUGAAACUGGCAGACUAGAGUACUGUAGAGGGGGGUAGAAUUUCAGGUGUAGCGGUGAAAUGCGUAGAGAUCUGAAGGAAUACCGGUGGCGAAGGCGGCCCCCUGGACAGAUACUGACACUCAGAUGCGAAAGCGUGGGGAGCAAACAGGAUUAGAUACCCUGGUAGUCCACGCCGUAAACGAUGUCUACUUGGAGGUUGUGGCCUUGAGCCGUGGCUUUCGGAGCUAACGCGUUAAGUAGACCGCCUGGGGAGUACGGUCGCAAGAUUAAAACUCAAAUGAAUUGACGGGGGCCCGCACAAGCGGUGGAGCAUGUGGUUUAAUUCGAUGCAACGCGAAGAAACCUUACCUACUCUUGACAUCCAGAGAACUUUCCAGAGAUGGAUUGGUGCCUUCGGGAACUCUGAGACAGGUGCUGCAUGGCUGUCGUCAGCUCGUGUUGUGAAAUGUUGGGUUAAGUCCCGCAACGAGCGCAACCCUUAUCCUUGUUUGCCAGCGAGUAAUGUCGGGAACUCCAGGGAGACUGCCGGUGAUAAACCGGAGGAAGGUGGGGACGACGUCAAGUCAUCAUGGCCCUUACGAGUAGGGCUACACACGUGCUACAAUGGCGCAUACAGAGGGCGGCCAACUUGCGAAAGUGAGCGAAUCCCAAAAAGUGCGUCGUAGUCCGGAUUGGAGUCUGCAACUCGACUCCAUGAAGUCGGAAUCGCUAGUAAUCGUGGAUCAGAAUGCCACGGUGAAUACGUUCCCGGGCCUUGUACACACCGCCCGUCACACCAUGGGAGUGGGCUGCAAAAGAAGUAGGUAGUUUAACCUUCGGGGGGACGCUUACCACUUUGUGGUUCAUGACUGGGGUGAAGUCGUAACAAGGUAGCGCUAGGGGAACCUGGCGCUGGAUCACCUCCUUA
rnacentral:rRNA from 1 species